GAAAACCAUGGCGAUCCGAAGCAGCGUGGGCAGUGUUGGAAACAUCUGCCCGCGCUCGAU
rnacentral:sRNA from 1 species